UACAGAGGGUGCGAGCGUUUAAUCGGAAUUACUGGGCGUAAAGGGCGCGUAGGCGGCCGCCUAAGUCAGACGUGAAAUCCCUCGGCUCAACCGGGGAACUGCGUCUGAUACUGGAUGGCUUGGAUUCGGGAGAGGAAUGCGGAAUUCCAGGUGUAGCGGUGAAAUGCGUAGAUAUCUGGAGGAACACCGGUGGCGAAGGCGGCGAU
rnacentral:rRNA from 1 species